UUUGGCUUCACAGGUUAAAGGUUUGGAAAUAAGGUGUGUUGGAAAAUGAGGGUGUUAAUGUUGAGUGCUGCUGAAUUAUCAAUCUUAAAUACACCUGGUCAAUCUACUUGCGUCCCUCAGCUUUGUUCUGUGUCCAACCCUUUCGUGUUCCACAAGUUGAUGAUGGAAAGUGAGGGAUAUCAGUGAGUUCUAAUGUGACUCCUAAUGUUGUCAGUUUCUCAGGUUUGUUAAAGUGAGGGUUGAUGUUGGAAAGUAAGGGAUAAUUAAGUUUGGAAAGGUGAUUAUUUGGGUGCAGCUGUAUCAUUUUUGCUUCAACCUUGUGCAAUAGAUCUAAACUGCAGUACAUGUUGGAGGUUUGGAAAGUGAGGAUGAGUGAACAUUUUGAGUACUGCACUGAGUGAGUUUGCCUUAAACCUCGAUUAAAUGCACCUGGUCCAGCUAAUCAAGUCCCUUUAAUCUCAGGCUUAAUUACAGGGUAUAUUUGCAGAUCUCUCCAUCUCCAACAUAACCAGCAUGGCAUGUGCAGUUCCGUUGCAGGGGUCCUGUCAUAGUACAAAUGGCUGCCCUAUGACAUCCUCCGUUUUUCUGACAAAAUUUAUGCAGUUCAAUGUGAAUACAAUGUUUGUUCGAUAUAAUCCAAUUUUUUUUUACUUUAACUUCUAAGUAAAACUACAUGUUCUUAAAGCAUAAACUGUUAAAUAUGGUAAUAUUUUAAGCAGAAGCAUGUACCUCCUUACAAAGAUUGAUAAGUUCACAAUUCUUUCCAUCCUUAUAAAAUCCCUCCUUGCAGUGGCAUGCUGUCUGAAGUAGAGAAAUUCUAAUUAGUGAUUUAUAAGGGGUCAAACUCAAUUCAUGGAGAACUAUAGCUCAGCACAGUUUAGUUCCAACCGUAAUCUCAUCUGAUCAAACCAAUUUAAGCUUGUCUAAUACCUGUAGUGUAAAAGCUGGGCAAAAACUGAACUGCAGAGCUGUAGCCCUCUAGGUAUUGUAAUUUGACAUCCAUUGUAUUUUCAUUGUUAGUAACCUGUCUCCAUUUAAGCAUUUGUUUUAGCUAUAACUGAAUUUUGAAGUUACAGCAAUGUUUUAGUAAGUAUUUUGUCUUGAAUUAUUUUCAAAUGCUAUGUGUGUUCUUUAACUCUGCAGGAAGGCAAAGUUGCAUGAAUAGGGAUAAACACCACUGCUGUACAUAGUUCAACUGCAACCCUGUUUGAACACUACUAAACUUGAACAGGAUUUGGAGUAUUUAUAUAAUUAUAGACUGGUGUGUUUGAUCAAGGUUGUAGUUGAAUUUUGGACGAGGGUAAAUCUUUAAGCAGCUUUAACACUAUCUACAUUGUAAAAGCACUAAAUAAACUGAAGUGGCAUUUUGAACUAUA
rnacentral:lncRNA from 1 species